rnacentral:tRNA from 1 species
UGGGCUGUCGCCAAAAGGCAAGGCACAGGAUUCUGACUCCUGCAUUUGAAGGUUCGAAUCCUUCCAGCCCAG